rnacentral:rRNA from 1 species
UACUCCGCCUGUUUUUCAAAAACAUGUCUUUAUGAAAGUGGAUAUAAAGUCGUGCCUGCUCACUGAUUUUAUUUAAGAGCCGCGGUAAUUUGACCGUGCAAAGGUAGCAUAAUAAUUAGUCUUUUAAUUGGGGACUGGAAUGAAAGGUUUGAUGAAAUAACAACUGUCUUUUGUUGAUAAUUUGAAUUUUAUUAUUAAGUUAAAAAGCUUAAAUGAAAAUAAGGGACGAGAAGACCCUAUAGAUCUUUAUAAUGAGUAAUUUAGGAUAUGUUUUGGAAGAUAAUACCUGAGUUAUUAAAUUAUUUAGUUGGGGUGACUGGGAAAUAAUGUAACUUUUUUUAUAUUUGUACUUUGAUAAGAGGAAUUUUGAUCCUUUAAUAUGGAUUAUAAGAUUAAGAUACCUUAGGGAUAACAGCAUAAUUUUAUUUGAAAGUUCAUAUUGACAAUAAAGAUUAUGACCUCGAUGUUGGAUUAAGAUUAAGAAUUGGUGCAGAAGUUAAUUUGAUUAGUCUGUUCGACCAUUAAAUUCUUACCGUGGA